rnacentral:rRNA from 1 species
AUUGAACGCUGGCGGAAUGCUUUACACAUGCAAGUCGAGCGGCAGCGCGGGGGCAACCCUGGCGGCGAGCGGCGAACGGGUGAGUAACAUAUCGGAACGUACCCAGUCGUGGGGGAUAACUAUCCGAAAGGAUAGCUAAUACCGCAUACGUCCUGAGGGAGAAAGCGGGGGAUCGCAAGACCUCGCGCGAUUGGAGCGGCCGAUAUCGGAUUAGCUAGUUGGUGGGGUAAAGGCUCACCAAGGCGACGAUCCGUAGCGGGUCUGAGAGGACGACCCGCCACACUGGAACUGAGACACGGUCCAGACUCCUACGGGAGGCAGCAGUGGGGAAUUUUGGACAAUGGGGGCAACCCUGAUCCAGCCAUUCCGCGUGAGUGAAGAAGGCCUCGGUUGU